rnacentral:rRNA from 1 species
CUACGGGGGGCUGCAGUGAGGAAUAUUGCACAAUGGGGGGAACCCUGAUGCAGCAACGCCGCGUGGAGGAUGACGCAUUUCGGUGUGUAAACUCCCUUUAUAUGUCAAGAAAAUGACGGUAGCAUAUGAAUAAGCACCGGCUAACUCCGUGCCAGCAGCCGCGGUAAUACGGAGGGUGCAAGCGUUACUCGGAAUCACUGGGCGUAAAGGACGCGUAGGCGGGUUGGAAAGUCAGGUGUGAAAUCCUACAGCUUAACUGUAGAACUGCACUUGAAACUUCUAAUCUAGAGUAUGGGAGGGGGAGAUGGAAUUAGUGGUGUAGGGGUAAAAUCCGUAGAUAUCACUAGGAAUACCUAAAGCGAAGGCGAUCUCCUGGAACAUUACUGACGCUAAGGCGUGAAAGCGUGGGGAGCAAACAGGAUUAGAUACCAUGGUAGUC